rnacentral:tRNA from 1 species
GGGGGUGUAGCUUUGUGGUAGAGUGCUUGCCUAGCAUGUUCAAGGCCCUGGGUUCAAUCCCCAGCAUCUCAC